GAACGUUGUCACACGAUAUUAUAUUGCGGUGGGACACGUGCGCACGGGCACGCGCGCAACGGACCGGGUUAAUUGCGUGACAAUAACGAUAUGGAAAAAAACGUGGAAUAAAGUCGGUAGAAAAAAAUGUACCGCGUGUUUCACUCGAACGGUAACACGAGAUGUUUCGCAGCCGGAUGGAUAACGAAUCGAACCGGAGUUUUCUUCCUCUCUGCGCUCCCGGCAGCACCUACG